GACGUAGGGUUGCAAGCGUUUUUUUUUUUUUUUGUCCGGAUUUAUUUGGGCGAAAGAGCUCGUAGGCGGCUUGUUUGCGUCACUGUGAAAACCCGCGGCUUUUUAACUGCGGGCUUGCAGUCGAUACGGGCAGGCUAGAGUUCGGUAGGGGAGACUGGAAUUUCCUGGUGUAGCGGUGAAAUGCGCAGAUAUCAGGAGGAACACCGGUGGCGAAGGCGGGUCUCUGGGCCGAUACUGACGUGAGGCGCGAAAAGCUAGGGGGGGAGCGAACGGG
rnacentral:rRNA from 1 species